AUUGAACGCUGGCGGCAUGCCUUACACAUGCAAGUCGAACGGUAACAGGUCUUCGGAUGCUGACGAGUGGCGAACGGGUGAGUAAUACAUCGGAACGUGCCCAGUCGCGGGGGAUAACGAGGCGAAAGCUUUGCUAAUACCGCAUACGAUCUAAGGUUGAAAGCAGGGGACCGCAAGGCCUUGCGCGUUUGGAGCGGCCGAUGGCAGAUUAGGUAGUUGGUGGGAUAAAAGCUUACCAAGCCGACGAUCUGUAGCUGGUCUGAGAGGACGACCAGCCACACUGGGACUGAGACACGGCCCAGACUCCUACGGGAGGCAGCAGUGGGGAAUUUUGGACAAUGGGCGAAAGCCUGAUCCAGCAAUGCCGCGUGCAGGAUGAAGGCCUUCGGGUUGUAAACUGCUUUUGUACGGAACGAAAAGGCUCUGGCUAAUACCUGGGGCACAUGACGGUACCGUAAGAAUAAGCACCGGCUAACUACGUG
rnacentral:rRNA from 1 species